rnacentral:lncRNA from 1 species
CUGAAAUAUUGGAUGGAAGAAGGAGGUGUUCCAUGAAAAUCUUUAAGCCCUUCGAAAUGAAAUACAUUACAAAAAGAAGACAGAGCAUGGAUUCAGCCAAUGACAGUACCCCGAAAGACAGUAAUAAAAAAUCUGAAGAACAUGAAGAGAAAGACAAAGAGGUCUUUGAUCCUUUUGAAGAUUUCUACAGGGAAUGACUAUCACAACUCGGUUUGUCACUCAUGAACUCUUCAUCAUAUGAAGAUUUUAGUCCUAGUUAGAGGCAAAAUGUCAGUUUUCU